rnacentral:misc_RNA from 1 species
UCCGGUUCUUCACCAGCAGUCUCCUUAGAGUCCCCAACUUAAUGCUGGCAACUAAGGAUAAGGGUUGCGCUCGUUACGGGACUUAACCCAACAUCUCACAACACGAGCUGACGACAGCCAUGCAGCACCUGUCUCUAGGUUCCUUUCGGCACAACCACAUCUCUGCAGUCUUCCUAGGAUGUCAAGGGUAGGUAAGGUUCUUCGCGUUGCGUCGAAUUAAACCACAUGCUCCACCGCUUGUGCGGGCCCCCGUCAAUUUCUUUGAGUUUUAAUCUUGCGACCGUACUCCCCAGGCGGAGAACUUAUCGCGUUAGCUUCGAUACUAAUGAGCUCGCGCCCACCAACAUCCAGUUCUCAUCGUUUACAGCGUGGACUAC